AUUGAACGCUGGCGGCAUGCCUUACACAUGCAAGUCGAACGGUAACAGGUUAAGCUGACGAGUGGCGAACGGGUGAGUAAUACAUCGGAACGUGCCCAGACGUGGGGGAUAGCUCGGCGAAAGCCGGAUUAAUACCGCAUAAGCUCUGAGGAGGAAAGCGGGGGACCGUAAGGCCUCGCGCGUUUGGAGCGGCCGAUGGCAGAUUAGGUAGUUGGUGGGGUAAAGGCUUACCAAGCCUACGAUCUGUAGCUGGUCUGAGAGGACGACCAGCCACACUGGGACUGAGACACGGCCCAGACUCCUACGGGAGGCAGCAGUGGGGAAUUUUGGACAAUGGGCGCAAGCCUGAUCCAGCAAUGCCGCGUGCAGGAUGAAGGCCUUCGGGUUGUAAACUGCUUUUGUACGGAACGAAAAGGCGCCUACUAAUACUGGGUGUUGAUGACGGUACCGUAAGAAUAAGCACCGGCUAACUACGUGCCAGCAGCCGCCGUAAGAC
rnacentral:rRNA from 1 species